rnacentral:lncRNA from 1 species
GCCUGUUGGAGAGCUAACCAGUAAAGAUGGAGCAGAGCUGAGAGAUGAAAAGAAGGACAUCAGAUCCUGAUUUGUACCUCUGGAUCUGGUGGCUUCUCGCUGUGGUAUUUCUAGCCAUGACCGUCUCUGGACUCAUCGGUUGCUUGAGCCAAUAUUUUCCUGCAUAUCUAUCUAUUUCCAUUUUUCUUAUUUUUUUGUUUAAGCCAGUUUGAGUUAGGCUUUCUAUCACCUGAGAUUAGAAAAGUCCUCAUUUAGGCUGGAUACGGUGGCUCAUGCCCGUAAUGCCAGCACUUUUGGAGCAUGGAUCCCCUGCUCAGCGGCAGUUGGCUGAACUGAGGGUUUAUGGAGUACUACAACAUCCCUGACAUCGUUGAGACAGGAUGGCAAUGCUGAAGCAGGAGAUAUAAUCUAUACCAGCAGGAGCUCAGCAUCCAUGGGGAAAUUUGGAAAACAAGAUCAGAUUCCCUCCCCAUUAAACAAUGGAAAAAGAUACAGCACAGUGUAGUGUUAAAUAUACUUCUAUUUAGAGAUGGUACUUAUUCCUCCUUUCAUUCCAAGUG